GUGGAUUAGAUACCCUGGUAGUCCACGCCGUAAACGGUGGGUACUAGGUGUGGGUUCCUUUCACGGGAUCCGUGCCGUAGCUAACGCAUUAAGUACCCCGCCUGGGGAGUACGGCCGCAAGGCUAAAACUCAAAGGAAUUGACGGGGGCCCGCACAAGCGGCGGAGCAUGUGGAUUAAUUCGAUGCAACGCGAAGAACCUUACCUGGGUUUGACAUACACCAGACGCUGGUAGAGAUAUCAGUUCCCUUGUGGUUGGUGUACAGGUGGUGCACGGUCGUCGCCAACU
rnacentral:rRNA from 1 species